CUACUGAUCAUUAAAAAGGGAAUCCGAUUCAAAUUCGGAGCUUUCCUCGAAGCUGUAAGUCCAAUAUUAAGUCUUGAUCAUAUUCAUGCAAACCACUGAUAGAAUUGUCUAUUGGGAAGGUAAGAUCAAAACUUGGAUAAGCCAGAAUACCUGCCAAAUCUACA
rnacentral:ncRNA from 1 species